rnacentral:rRNA from 1 species
AGAGUUUGAUCCUGGCUCAGAAUCAACGCUGGCGGCGUGCCUAACACAUGCAAGUCGAACGCGAAAGGGGCUUCGGCUCUGAGUAGAGUGGCGAACGGGUGAGUAACACGUGGGUGACCUACCUUCGAAUGGGGGAUAACGUCCCGAAAGGGACGCUAAUACCGCAUAACAUCCUGCUUUUGAAGAGGUGGAGAUCAAAGCUGGGGAUCGCAAGACCUGGCGUUUGAAGAGGGGCCCGCGUCUGAUUAGCUAGUUGGUGAGGUAACGGCUCACCAAGGCAACGAUCAGUAUCCGGCCUGAGAGGGCGGACGGACACACUGGGACUGAGACACGGCCCAGACUCCUACGGGAGGCAGCAGUGGGGAAUUGUUCGCAAUGGGCGCGAGCCUGACGACGCAACGCCGCGUGGAGGAUGAAGGUCUUCGGAUUGUAAACUCCUGUUGCCCGGGACGAAAUGCUUCGACCUAACACGUCGAAGUUUGACGGUACCGGGUGAGGAAGCCCCGGCUAACUCUGUGCCAGCAGCCGCGGUAAUACAGAGGGGGCAAGCGUUGUUCGGAAUUACUGGGCGUAAAGGGCGCGUCGGCGGCCUUCUAAGUCGAACGUGAAAUCCCCGGGCUCAACCCGGGAACUGCGUCCGAUACUGGAAGGCUUGAAUCCGGGAGAGGGAUGCGGAAUUCCAGGUGUAGCGGUGAAAUGCGUAGAUAUCUGGAGGAACACCGGUGGCGAAGGCGGCAUCCUGGACCGGCAUUGACGCUGAGGCGCGAAAGCCAGGGGAGCAAACGGGAUUAGAUACCCUAGUAGUCC